rfam:Camelus ferus unplaced genomic scaffold scaffold1984, whole genome shotgun sequence.
GAGGGUAUAGCUCAGUGCAGAGUGUGUGCUUAGCAUGCACAAGGUCCUGGGUUCAAUCCCCAGUACCUCCA